GAUCCUGGCUCAGGAUGAACGCUGGCGGCGUGCCUAAUACAUGCAAGUCGAGCGAACAGACGAGGAGCUUGCUCCUCUGACGUUAGCGGCGGACGGGUGAGUAACACGUGGAUAACCUACCUAUAAGACUGGGAUAACGUUCGGGAAACCGGAGCUAAUACCGGAUAAUAUAUUGAACCGCAUGGUUCAAUAGUGAAAGACGGUUUUGCUGUCACUUAUAGAUGGAUCCGNGCCGCAUUAG
rnacentral:rRNA from 1 species